UGGGGAAUAUUGCACAAUGGGCGAAAGCCUGAUGCAGCAACGCCGCGUGAAGGAAGAAGGGUUUCGGCUCGUAAACUUCUAUCAACAGGGACGAAGGAAGUGACGGUACCUGAAUAAGAAGCCCCGGCUAACUACGUGCCAGCAGCCGCGGCAAUACGUAGGGGGCAAGCGUUAUCCGGAAUUACUGGGUGUAAAGGGUGAGUAGGCGGCAUGGUAAGCCAGAUGUGAAAGCCUUGGGCUUAACCCGAGGAUUGCAUUUGGAACUAUCAAGCUAGAGUACAGGAGAGGAAAGCGGAAUUCCUAGUGUAGCGGUGAAAUGCGUAGAUAUUAGGAAGAACACCAGUGGCGAAGGCGGCUUUCUGGACUGAAACUGACGCUGAGGCACGAAAGCGUGGGGAGCGAACAGGAUUAGAUACCC
rnacentral:rRNA from 1 species